rnacentral:rRNA from 1 species
AUUGAACGCUGGCGGCAUGCCUUACACAUGCAAGUCGAACGGCAGCACGGGUGCUUGCACCUGGUGGCGAGUGGCGAACGGGUGAGUAAUAUAUCGGAACGUACCUUAUUGUGGGGGAUAACGCAGCGAAAGCUGUGCUAAUACCGCAUAAUCCCUAAGGGGGAAAGCGGGGGACCGUAAGGCCUCGCGCAAUUAGAGCGGCCGAUACCUGAUUAACUAGUUGGUGAGGUAAAGGCUCACAAAGGCAACGAUCAGUAGCUGGUCUGAGAGGACAAUCAGCCACACUGGGACUGAGACACGGCCCAGACUCCUACGGGAGUCAGCAGUGGGGAAUUUUGGAAAAUGGGGUCAACCCUGAUCCAGCAAUGCCGCGUGAGUGAAGAAGGCCUUCGGGUUGUAAAGCUCUUUUGUCAGGGAAGAAACAGCAGCUCUAACACAGUUUGCGAAUGACGGUACCUGAAGAAUAAGCACCGGCUAACUACGUGCCAGCAGCCGCCGUAAAAC